AUUGAACGCUGGCGGCAGGCCUAACACAUGCAAGUCGAACGAGUGGCGGACGGGUGAGUAAUGUCUGGGAAACUGCCUGAUGGAGGGGGAUCACUACUGGAAACGGUAGCUAAUACCGCAUACCAUCAGAUGUGCCCAGAUGGGAUUGGCUUGUUGGUGGGGUAACGGCUCACAAAGACGACGAUCCCUACCUGGUCUGAGCGGAUGACCGUCCAACCUGGACCAGGGACACGGUCCAGACUCCUACGGGAGGCAGCAGUGGGGAAUAUUGGACAGUGGGCGCAAGCCUGAUGCAGCCAUGCGGCGUGGAUGAAGAAGGCCUUCGGGUUGUAAAGUACUUUCAGCGGGGAGGCGUUACCCGCAGAAGAAGCACCGGCUAACUCCGUGCCAGCAGCCGCGGUAAUUC
rnacentral:rRNA from 1 species